GAUGAACGCUGGCGGCGUGCCUAAUACAUGCAAGUCGAGCGAACAGAUAAGGAGCUUGCUCCUUUGACGUUAGCGGCGGACGGGUGAGUAACACGUGGGUAACCUACCUAUAAGACUGGAAUAACUCCGGGAAACCGGUGCUAAUGCCGGAUAACAUUUAGAACCGCAUGGUUCUAAAGUGAAAGAUGGUUUUGCUAUCACUUAUAGAUGGACCCGCGCCGUAUUAGCUAGUUGGUAAGGUAACGGCUUACCAAGGCAACGAUACGUAGCCGACCUGAGAGGGUGAUCGGCCACACUGGAACUGAGACACGGUCCAGACUCCUACGGGAGGCAGCAGUAGGGAAUCUUCCGCAAUGGGCGAAAGCCUGACGGAGCAACACCGCGUGAGUGAUGAAGGUCUUCGGAUCGUAAAACUCUGUUAUUAGGGAAGAACAAAUGUGUAAGUAACUGUGCACGUCUUGACGGUACCUAAUCAGAAAGCCACGGCUAACUACGUG
rnacentral:rRNA from 1 species